UCCGCGCCCUGAUCGGGGGCGCUCAACCCACUAUGGUUGACGGGUCCCUGUCACCUGCACUAUAUAAAGAGAUGGGGGCCGGCGGCUCACACCACGAGGUUCUUCACCAGCCGCACACCCCACCGACAAUCCCUUCCGAUCUAGGGUUAGUGCAGUGCUGACGGAAAGCACCGCCACUGUUACUCUCUGCCAUCACCGGCCACCGUCACCAUGGCCGGCACCGGGACCUCCUCGAGCCACAAGUGAAGGUAGGUUUACCGGAAUAACUAGCCCAAUCCGAUCCAGAGAACAUAACAAUUGAUACAAGAAUGAGUUAUGCAGUAGCAUUUAUUUAAGCGCAGUUUAAAGAACAGGCCAUUGCCGAAUCAUUUUGUCUAAGCGCAAUUUCUCACGAGGGUUUGCUAAGCGCAAAGUUAUAUUGUCUGGAUACUUUUGUUCUGAUUUUUCAAAUUGAUUUCAGGAUUCUACCUUCUUGCCAAGUAGAAGAGGCUGCGGACAAACCUAUAUAUAGGUGGACACAUAGAUUGUUAGUGGAUAUACUCUUAAACAUCUAUGUGCUGCGAUGGUACUUGUUUUCUUGACUCUGAUGUUGGCAAAGAGGACAACUGAACCUGACAGGGUAAGCUUACUCCAGAUGUGGAAGAUCAGUUGGAGAGAACGCGGUUCCCAAGAUAGCAACACUGUAGACGUCAAAUAUGAUUAUGCUGCAGUUUCAAAUACGUCUGAACAACAGUAGAUAUGUGUUUUUCAUGUGUACUUGCAAAGUGUAAAAAUAGGGUCGAUCUGAAUCUCGGGAGCCCCAGCGUGCACCGUUUUGUGUUAUUGCCUGCUAAUCGAUGUUUGUAUGUGGUUGUUCCCGAUCAAAUCUUUUACACAAAGGGAAAAUGUAUAUCAGCGGCCUCAUCAACUCUCUGGUCCAGUUUUUUCUGAACGACCAAUGGUCUAUAACCCGCCCCGCUCCUGGAAAGACCAGAGCCUAUGUAACUGGAUAGGGAUUUACUGUGACUGCAUCCGCUUCGGUUGUUGCUGCUCUUGGGAGUCCAUUAAGCUGCAUGCUAUGCGCUCGAUGAUUUCCAUGGUUGCAAAGUCAUAUAUCGGCUUGGCUAUCUAAGUCACUAAGGACGGACUGAGUUCCGAUUUCUUAUUCCUCUUUCAAAACAUAAAAGAAAAAGAGUUCAGGUUUUCAGCACAGAAUGAGGAUGGGUUAAUGUGUCAUCGAUUUGGGAUAGAGUUAGAGGUGGGAGCUCUGGAUCCAGAUUUCCCCUGUUUUAUCAUGCGAGUGUUGUUAUGGAUUGGGAAACUCUAGAUUUUGAUUUCAGGUACCCAUGGUUUCAUUCGAUAGAGGUGUAUGGCUGAUUCCAGCAGUAAAAAUAGCACUUUUGCAAAACACAAUAAGUAUGAUGAUCUGCCAUGCCAUAGUAAUGCAAAUGAUCAUGACAAUAUGACCUGAUGAUUUCCUUGGUAGCAGGGAAUCGAGACUAUAUAUAUGCAAGCGGCAGUUUUCCCACUACCACACAAUGCAUACAUGGUGUUCGCUGGGUGAAACGGUCCAUACUCCACGCUUUUGUUUCUGAGAUAUUAGAGUAAACCAAUACAAAAAGCAUAUUUUGCUUCACCAAAUUUGUGCUCCAAUAGAGGGAUCGCCUGUUGAUCCAGCAUGGGAGGAGUGCCAGGACCAAAACAAUUGGAAGGAAUUCAUCGAAAAACCGAACGAGGGAUUUGUCGGAUUACAGAGAUGGUUGUGAAGAUGAUCACUUUUACUUGUAAUUAAUCUAAGGAACUAUGUUUUGUCGAAUUCUUUCUUACACUUUACUCAGAUGGGAACGGUAAAAAUAGCCAGAUCGGUUUGGUGA